AUUGAACGCUGGCGGCAGGCCUAACACAUGCAAGUCGAGCGGAUGAAGGGAGCUUGCUCCUGGAUUCAGCGGCGGACGGGUGAGUAAUGCCUAGGAAUCUGCCUGGUAGUGGGGGACAACGUUUCGAAAGGAACGCUAAUACCGCAUACGUCCUACGGGAGAAAGCAGGGGACCUUCGGGCCUCGCGCUAUCAGAUGAGCCUAGGUCGGAUUAGCUAGUUGGUGAGGUAAAGGCUCACCAAGGCGACGAUCCGUAACUGGUCUGAGAGGAUGAUCAGUCACACUGGAACUGAGACACGGUCCAGACUCCUACGGGAGGCAGCAGUGGGGAAUAUUGGACAAUGGGCGAAAGCCUGAUCCAGCCAUGCCGCGUGUGUGAAGAAGGUCUUCGGAUUGUAAAGCACUUUAAGUUGGGAGGAAGGGUUGUAGAUUAAUACUCUGCAAUUUUGACGUUACCGACAGAAUAAGCACCGGCUAACUCUGUGCCAGCAGCCGCAGUAA
rnacentral:rRNA from 1 species